AUAACGACUCUCGGCAACGGAUAUCUCGGCUCUCGCAUCGAUGAAGAACAUAGCGAAAUGCGAUACUUGGAGUGAAUUGCAGAAUCCCAUGAACCAUCCAGUCUUUGAACGCAAGUUGCGCCCGAAGCCAUCAGGCCGAGGGCACGUCUGCCUGGGCGUCAUGC
rnacentral:rRNA from 1 species